rnacentral:lncRNA from 1 species
GGAAUUGUUUAGGAUUUGUUUGAGAUCAAAAUAUUUAAAUGUAUGGUUCAGAAUCAAAUUCAUAGCUUAAAAAUUUUGAAUGCUUUUUUUUAUUUGUCAAAUUCUCAGUCGUGAAUCACAUAAAAUGUCUAAUGCGAUUAAAUCUCAAUUUGGUCUAAUUCAACCAAAUCGAAAGAUUCAACUUUGGAUAGAAUCAAAGAGUUCGAUUAUUUUUCGAACAUCCCACAGUUCUUCCAAUAAAAGGACAAUCAAAAGAAUAUUAAUCAAUAACCCGAUUAAUUUUCUUUUGUCUCCUCAUUAUAGAAGAAUUAAGAGAGAAUUUUUUUUCUCUUUAUCUCCUUUAAAGAUACAAGACAACAAAGAUAGAUAAUUCUUCUUUGUCUCUUUUACAUUCAUGGGACAACUAAGGUGGAAAAAUCCCUUCCUAGCCUCCCUUUUUGUAACAAAGCUCCCUCUCUCUUUCAUAAUUAGAGGAGUAAUCUUUUUCCCUCUUUCUCUCUUUUUUUUUGCAAAGAGAAGAGCACCGCUCUCUCCCUCUUUCGAUGAUGCUAUAAAGGGAAGAGCACCGCUCACUCCCUUUUGUUAAAACAUUUUUAUAAAGAGAAGAGCACCGCUCUCUCUCUUUAUAUACAGAUCGGGUUCGACGUUAAAAGUACAUCUU